rnacentral:rRNA from 1 species
GACAGAGGGUGCAAACGUUGUUCGGAAUUACUGGGCGUAAAGCGAGUGUAGGCGGUGUGUCAAGUCAGGCGUGAAAGCCCCGGGCUCAACCUGGGAACCGCGCUUGAGACUGGCACGCUCGAGUUCGGGAGAGGAUGGUGGAAUUCCCAGUGUAGAGGUGAAAUUCGUAGAUAUUGGGAAGAACACCGGUGGCGAAGGCGGCGACCUGGUCCAUUACUGACGCUGAGGCGCGAAAGCGUGGGGAG